AGGGAGGGUGGCGCCGCCGCUGGGAGCCGCUCAGUGAGUGCGGCGCUUCUGGAAACGCAGGACAGGCGGGCGGGCUGCGGAGGGCGGAGGCGCGGGGCGUGGCGGCCGCCAUGCCUGUGGGAAGUGGAGGUUUGCCGGGAAGUCCACCAGCGUUUGUGAGCUCGUAUGAAGGCCAAUCAUGUUCAGACCCAGGCGGAGGUUCCUGCUGACCCAGGCUCUCACCAGCACAUUGUCCUUUACUGUCCUCCUGAGGGUGUCUGGAGCUUCAGUGCUGUGUGCUCUUGGCCUCCAUGCUGGGGCACCACUGACUCCUGCUGUCCAGGGCUUCCAGUGGACUCUCCGAGGCACUGAUGUAGAAUCUUCCCCAUUCGGUUCACCAAGAGCAGCCUCAUGCGGUGUGGGCUGACAUGAAGAGCUGCCAGAUCUAACAGGAGAGGAAGAAAAUAACAGGGAUCUUCAUGGAGAAAUGACCCACAUGAGGGCCUGGACUCUCCAGCAGUUACAGCAGAGGAAACUCCCUGAGGAAGCAUGGAGUAGCUGAACGCCCAGACUGGGAAAGCAGGGUUGUGUUAACCACUGUUUAAUCCUCACAUGCUCCCUGCCCCAAACUGCUAGCCAGUGAAUGACAACGGACUGGGAAGCCUGAGCUGAGUUCACACCUGGGAAGCUGAGAACUGAGGGAACAGAUGGAAGAAAGUCAGCAGGUUUUGGAAAAGAGAAGAACCUGUAAAGGACAAGUCAGCGCUAGAACAGAAUUUGGAUUGGUAACAUGGAAAAGACACUUCUCACCUGCC